UAGUCAUAUGCUUGUCUCAAAGAUUAAGCCAUGCAUGUCUAAGUAUACGCAAAUUAUACUGUGAAACUGCGAAUGGCUCAUUAAAUCAGUUAUAGUUUAUUUGAUGUUUCUUGCUACAUGGAUAACUGUGGUAAUUCUAGAGCUAAUACAUGCGUAAAAAGCCCCGACUUCUGGAAGGGGUGUAUUUAUUAGAUAAAAACCAUCCUCCUCGGAGUUUGGUGAUUCAUAAUAACUUCUCGAAUCGCACGGCCUUGUGCUGGCGAUGCUUCAUUCAAAUAUCUGCCCCAUCAACUGUCGAUGGUAGGAUAGAGGCCUACCAUGGUUGCAACGGGUAACGGGGAAUAAGGGUUCGAUUCCGGAGAGGGAGCCUGAGAAACGGCUACCACAUCCAAGGAAGGCAGCAGGCACGCAAAUUACCCACUCUCCGAUCGAGGAGGUAGUGACGAAAAAUAACAAUACCGGACUCUUCCGAGGCUCGGUAAUUGGAAUGGGUACACUUCAAAUCCUUUAACGAGGAUCCAUU
rnacentral:rRNA from 1 species